UGGCCUAGUGGUUAAGGCUAUGGAUCGCCAAUCCGGAAACGGCGGGUUCCAUUCCCGU
rnacentral:tRNA from 1 species